UUCACUAGCAAUGUCAUGCAUUAUUAGUAGCAAGGAUGAAUCACGCAUACUAUAUGAGUGACACCGACAGGGCGUAUUGAGGACACCUGUCUCAGGGAUUGACGAGCGGCCGUCUUUAAUGGGUUUUGGAUAGCCUCAUUAUAAUGAUAAUUAGAAAAUAUUUCAAGUGUUAUAAGUCCUAUAAUAUAUUAAUAUAAAAAAUAUUUUUUUGUA